GACGAACGCUGGCGGCGUGCCUAAUACAUGCAAGUCGAACGCAGUGGGGAUGGCUGAGUAACACGUGGGUCACCUCCCAUCAGAGGGGAUAACACUUGGAAACAUGUGCUAACCCGAUACUUAUGGAUGGACCUGCGGUGCAUUAGCCUGGUGGUGAGGUAACGGCGCACCAAGGCCACGAUGCAUAGCCGACCUGGGAGGGUGAACGGCCACGCGGGGACUAAGACACGGCCCAGACUCCAACGGGAGGCGGAGGUAGGGAAUCUUCGGAAAUGGACGAAAGUCUAACGAAGCAACGCCGCGUGAGUGAAGAAGGUUUUCGGAUCGUAAAACACUGUUGUCGGAGAGGCGGUAUCUGACCAGAAAGCCACGGCUAACUACGUGCCAGCAGCCGCGGUAAUAC
rnacentral:rRNA from 1 species